GGCUGUCAAGUCGGAGACUGAGUGCCUGAGCAGGCGUGGACCAUGAAGGAGAGGAAUCUAACACACCGAGGUUGGAGCUGGGCAGUCUGAGGAAGUCAGAGAUGGCAGGAAGAAAUGCUAAAAAAUCCCUGAAGGAAACACUUAAUUCAGGACGUUGGCUCCUUGAAUUGAAACUCAACCAUCUUUGAAAUCUCCAGACGUAAUCUCCAAGCAGUUCAGUCAAAACCACUAUCACCGUGCUGGAGGAUCUGAUGUCACCUCCAUCAUGGAGGAGAAACCUGAGCCUGACUGCGUUGGACUUUCUGAUCAGUUCACACAAGAGGCCCCAGUUCAAGGCUAACAAUAUCUGACAUGUAAAGUAAACACAGUUUGCAGCCUGUUUGUUGCAACAAGCAGGACUGCAAGCUGAGAAGAGUCCAUGCGCUGGGAUCAUGUGAGCACAGUUCUCCAUUAUGAUUAAUGAGGAAGUUGAAUUGCAGUGCCCCCACUCUGAGAACAGUGACUGUCAAAAGAAUUCAACACAAAAAGCUGUAAAACAGAACAUUAAAACAAGCACUGGGCUGAAAUGUACCUCCAGGGGCAGGGAAGGGGCGGGUGGCGAGGUGAGUUAAUUUGUUUUUAUUUGUAGGUCUCAUUCCAAAAGGCGAUGUUUGGUUUUGCCUCCUGAACUGGUGCUGGAGAAGAGACAUGGCCCAUGAAACAGCGGUGGACCUUACCAAGCAGAACUAGAAGAUAUCUGUCAGAGUUCCAGACAUUGGUUCAUUUCCUCAAGAGAUUCAAGAUUGAAUUACCUCUGGCCAUUUAUCUGUAUGAGUUCCUGUACCAGAAUGUGACUGGAAGACAAUGAAGCAGAAGGAAAAAUUUAACACCGGCACGGCACUGUCUUGGAGCUAAUCGUUUUUCACCAAACACACACAUGUAGCAGCAAAACAUCCUUAAAAUGUAAAACAUCUUGGUUUUUUAAUAACCCCUUGUGGUAUGUUUUUACUUUAGCAAUAAUUGUAUUUUCUUUUUUGCACAUUUUAUUUAACAACAUUGCAGUGCCAGAUAAUCGGUUCCAUGUGUUCAGGGCACUAGCAAAGUGCCUAACGGAGAAACAAUUAACUUUAUUGGGCUCCUGUUAUUGGCAGACACAGCCUUACACCCUUACUUGUUCAUGGUGCUCAGCCACAUAUGAGCUGCAAAGAAUUUGGUGUCCUAAGUAAUCAUGCAGCAACCUGAAUUUAGAGCCAAGUUAUCAUUAAAAAAAAAAAAUCAUGAUCAUGAACUAGAAACAGAAGUUAAAGUCCAUGACAAGAUCCGAAGAUAAAGUUCACUUCAGUAACAAAAAGUGCAAUGAUUAGUCCAGGGCCUGGAGCCAAUGGUUGAUGAGCAAACUUGGACUUUUGCUAAAGAAGAACAUGCAGUAUGAUUUGAAGCAAAUAUGAGCACUGUGACCGUAAUGCAAGCUUAGCUCUUUCAGUAAUAGGCACUGAAACAAUGGUUAAAUGCAGUUAAGUGCAAGGAGCAACACAGUUAGGUUUUAUCAAACAUUAACACUUGUACUGGAGAGUCCAUAAAAUUCUAAUUGGCCUCUUCUGCGGAAAGCAGCCCCAAGAGGUUCUUUAUGUACAAAGCAGCUCUGACUCAUGCCAUGAGUGCUGUGAGAAAAUAAACCCUGCUAGCGUAGCUGCCAUUGAUUUGUCCAGGGAAUGAUGCUCAAGCCACAGAAAGGAUAAAUAGGUCGGGCAUGUGGUAGCACAACUACCUCUGCAAUGGCACAGCCUAAAACUCGGCAUUGCGUUGGACAAAUGGACCUGAACAAAUUGUCUCUUAUGAAAAGCACCAUUUCCCUGAUUGCAAAGCAGGAAGCUUAUUUUGUAUGAGGAUUUGGAAGAGGUAGAGCCAGGGACCGGCCGACUUUCAAAGUCAGGAGUUGGUGGAUCUCAGCAGUGGAAAUGUGCUUAUUCAGAUCAGAGAAUAUACAGAGAAUGAGGGUAUCAAUUCCCACACAUCCCCGGAGACUCAAGCAGAAAUAUUGAGCAAUAAAGACAAAGAGAAUAAUUAGAGAAGCUGAAGAUCUCCAUGAAAAGGUUUUUGAUAUGCUGUAGAUCAGACAACAAAGAAAUCGAGAAAGAACAAAGAUUGCACUCCUGUCGCUGGCCUACAGACUCCAAAACCACCUCCCAACAUGUGGUCUUAUGGUGGCUCUGACUGGAGUGAAAAUUUUCCGUAGAAGACUGGUGUCUUGGACAUAAGUAAUUCAAAAAUAGGAGGCAGUGGAAAGGGUCACAUUGGUAAAUGCAAAGGCUGACUCAAUUUGGAACUUGGGUGGCAAGAACAUGAGACUCAAGGUGUAAGUAUAAAUGAACAGAUUUUGAAAAUAUGGAUAUAAAAGAAAAAAUAACACAAAAAAAUGAUCUUGGAGCUGGGACUGCACCAUUGCAAAAAUUUUAACUCGCCAAGAAAGCAGUGAUGUCUGAGAGAACAAGGAGUGAUAGCAAAUGCACAGUUCCAAGGGAACCAUCUGCAAGGAGCUUCCUCCCAACUGAGCAAGGUUACAGAUUGCAGAUUCUGGGCAACUGGUGUGAACUGAGAGGCACUCGGCUAAAGAUAAACCAAAGGCAUUCUUCUUUUGUUCAGAUAACAUGGGAUAUCUUCUCCAGCUUUUGGCAGUACCAAGUGCUAGGUUCUAGGAAUAUAAUGUUUCUCAGAGUAAGUCUGUUAUUUUCUAAAUAUCUUGGUGAUAAUUAUGUGGCUUUAUUUCUAUUGGACUCUAAAAAGAAAAUCAUGGGCACCAGAGUCUUGUUGUCAAACUAAUUUAACUUCCAAAGUCCUGAAGAAAAUUGAACCUAUUCCUGAGAAAACAGCCCAGGUUGCAUCUGCUGAAGGAAAACUAACUCUAUAUUGGCAUCACAUGCCCUUUAGUUAAGUCAGAGAAGAGUAAGAAGCAGGUUUGACAUUGUGGAAGACAGGGCGGUCAUUCCUCAAAGACCUAAACACAGAAAUACCAUUUGACCCAGCAAUCCCAAUACUGGGUAUACACCCAAAGGAAUAUAAGUCAUUCUUUUAUAAAGACACAAGCACAUGUAUGUUCAUUGUAGGACUAUUUACAAUAGCAAAGACAUAGAAUCUACCAAAAUGCCCAUGAAUGACAGACUGGAUAAAGAAAAUGUGGUACACAUACACCAUGGAAUACAAUGCAGCCACAAAAAGAAAUGAGAUCACAUCAUUUGCAGGGACAUGGACGGAGCUGGAGGCCAUUAUCCUUAGCAAACUAACACAGGAACAGAAAACCAAAUACCACAUAUUCUCACUUGUAAGUGGGAGCUAAAUGAUGAGAACAUGUAGACACAUAGAGAGUAACAAUACACACUAGGACCUAUCAGAGGGUGGAGGGUGAGAGGAGGGAGAGGAUCAGGAAAAAUAGUAAUGAGUACUAGGCUUAGUGUCUGGGUGAUGAAAUAAUCUGUAGAACAAACCCCCGUGACACAAUUUUACCUAUGCAACAAACCUGCACUUAUACACCUGAACUUAAAAUAAAAGUUGAAAAUAAAAAAGGCAGGGUGGGAUCCAUUUUAUUAUAUAUGUAUGUAAAUAAAUACAUAUAUAUACAUACACAUACAGUCAUGCAGUGCUUAAUGAUGGGGAUACAUUCUGAGAAAUGCAUCCUAAGGUGAUUUUGUUGUUGUGCGAACAUCAUGGAGUGUACUUACACAAACCUAGAUGGUAGAUGCUACUAUACACUUAGGUCGUAUGGUAUAGCCUAUUGCUCCUAGACUAUAAACCUGUAUAUGACUUCAAGGAAUAUUGUCAGUAAUUGUAACACAAUGGUAUUUAUGUAUCUAAAUAUAGAAAAGGUACAGUAAAAAUACUCGAUGAAAAAUGAAAUAUAGUACACCUGUAUAGCACACUGGUAUACCAUGAAUGGAGCUUACAGGACUGGAAGUUGCUUUGGGUGAGUCUGUGAGUGAGUGGUAGUGAAUGUGAAGGUCUAGGAGAUUACUGUAUACUACUUUAGACUUUAUAAACACUGUACACUUAGGAUACACUAAAUGUAUUUAAAAUAUUUUUCUUCAACAAUAAAUUAACCUUAGCUUACUGUAACUUUUUUACUUUAUAAACUUUCUCACGUUUUUUAACUUUUUGACUUUUUUUGUAAUAACGCUUAGUUUAAAACACUCAUUGUACAGCUGUACAAAAAAUAUUUCUUCUUUAUGUACUUAUUCUAUACACUUUCUUCUUUUUAUUUUAUUUUUUAAUUUUAAAACAUUUUUGUUAAAGACUAAAACACAAACACACACAGUAGCCUGAGACAACACACAGUCAUGGUCAUCAAUAUCACUGUUUUUCUUCUUCACCUCUUGUCCCGCUGUCUUCAGGGGCAAUAACAUGCAUGAACCUGUCAUCUUCUAUGAUAACAAUGCCUUCUUCUGGAAUCCCUCCUACAAGGACCUGCCUGAGGCUGUUUUACAGUUAACAUAUUUUUUGUAAGUAGGAGUAUACUUUAAAAUAACCAUAAAAAUAUAACACAGUAAAUACAUAAACCAGUAACAUAGUAAUUUAUUAUAACAGUCUAGUAUUAUGUACUAUACAUAGUUGCCUGUGCUAGACUUUUGUAAGACUGGCAGAGCAAUAGUUGUGUUUAUACCAGCAUCACCACAAACAUGUGACUAAUGCAUUGUGAUAUGACUACAAAGGCUAAGAAGUCAGCAGGCUAUAGCAAUUUUUCAGCUCCAUUAUAAUCUUAUGGGACUACUUUCAUACAUGUGGUCCAUCCUUGACUGAAACGUCAUUAUGUGGCACAUGACCAUAUACAUAUAUAUAUAUAUAAUCUUACAUUUGCAAAAUUAUCUGUAAUUUGCAAAUAAAAAAGAAUUCGAUGGGGGGUUCUUUUGGACUAUUAUAUAUAAGAAACAAACUUUAACAAGCAAAAGACUACUUGAAUUAACUUCUUUCUGGAAUCCCUAGUUGGGAGAAAUUUUAUUAUUGACUCAUGAGGUUUACAUUCAAACUUUUUGCAGUGCCCUAGUAGGCUACAUUGAAUAAUAUGGCUGGACAUAGUUCGAGGUUAAGAAAGAGAUCAGGGUAUGAAUUUUCAGCUUUGGGUAAAAUACCACCUUAGAGUCCAUUUAUUUAACAUUUUAUUGUGACUCAUUCCAGAGUCUUCUGGGAACAAAAUGUAAAACAGCCACUUGUAGGUCUAGGAGACAACCCAGUGGAGGUAUGGCUGGUAUUGGAAAAGUACAAGAACCUGGACACAAGGCUGUUGUAAAAAAAAAUGCUGCUCUCCUUCCCUGAGUGGGUAGCGGCUUAUUGACUGAUGAUGAGUGCAAUGUCUAGACACAAAGGGUUAAGACCUCAGAAACCUGGGGGAAAAUUAUGGGGGAAUAGUUCUUUCCAGCCCCUGAAGUUUCCCCCGAUAUAAACACUUCUGUCUUUUUCUAACCUUUAAUCACUAUUUUACCAGAAGUAAUAAGAUGAUUCAUCGAACUAGUAAAUUUGAGGACAAUAAUUUGGGUGUACUGACUUCAGCUCUUCCUUUUUUCUUUUAUUUACUUCUUCUUCUCCUCCUCUCCCAUCAAAAAGUCAGUAGGUGACGUACCUCCAUGCCCGAUGUGUAACCUUUGUGGUCUUUGCAUUUCAGGUCUGGUCUGGCAUGUGCAGGUGGUUAAGUGUCUCAGUCUCAUAUUUACUUGGUAGGUUUAUUUGGCUCAGACACUAAGCUACAUCAUCUCACUUAGUAGUUAUCAUGAAUCAAGGUGAAAAUUUUGACCCCAUCUGCUUCUUUUUUUCACACUUUCUCAACAUUUUUAGAACAUGGAUGGGAAAGAGGGAUGCUAUUUAUUAAGCCUGCUGAUUUCCUAGAAAACUGACAUGAAUCCCAUUUGGCAGAUGAAAAGAUUGAGUCUUUUGAGUGUGAACAAGUCAACCAAGUUCACGUCAUUAGCAAAGGAAAGGGGCCCAUAUUUGAAGCCACCUGUCUGGUUCUAUAACCUACCCUUAUAGCCAUCUUGCUGAUUUUUUGUUCUUUUCUUGUUCCUGGGUUGAACACAUACUUUAUUUCCUCAUUAAUGAAAUCAGAUUCUUUCUUUCAACGAAUUAAGUACUUAUUUGGUAACAAAACGAACUAGAAUGCGUAGAAGGUCUCAGAAUCCAUUGCUCUUCUAAGCUAAUGUUAACUCAAACAGAGAUUGAGAAAUGGAAAGAGGGAACAGGAAGAAAAGAGCAAAAGAAGAAACUUGGGAGCUGGAGAAGAGGACGUUUGGGAGGAUGGGGUUAUUGCAAAUGUCUAUUUAUGCUUCUAACUCCCUAUGGUGAGGAAAUGAUCAUGAAAAAUGACAACAAUUUCUCUUCAAGUAACUUGUGUGGUAAAAGUGGAAAAAAUAAGGGGCUUGGUUAAGUAUUAUGUAUGUUGUUAAUUACCACACACACACAAACACACACACACACAUAUACAUAUAUACACACACACACACACACACACACACACGCAUAAUUAUUUUUUAUACAGGGUCUCACACUGCCACCCAGACUGGAGUGCAGUGGCAUGAUCUCUGCUCACUUCGGCCUCCACUUCCUGGGUUCAAGUGAUUCUCAUGCCUCAGCCUCCUGAGUAGCUGGGACUACAGGCAUGCAUCAUCACGCCUGGAUAAUUUUUUGUAUUUUUUGGUACAGAUGGG
rnacentral:lncRNA from 1 species